rnacentral:rRNA from 1 species
UACGUAGGGUGCUAGCGUUGUUCGGAAUUACUGGGCGUAAAGCGUGCGCAGGCGGUUUUGUAAGUCUGUCGUGAAAGCCCCGGGCUCAACCUGGGAAUUGCGAUGGAGACUGCAAGGCUAGAAUCUGGCAGAGGGGGGUAGAAUUCCACGUGUAGCAGUGAAAUGCGUAGAGAUGUGGAGGAACACCGAUGGCGAAGGCAGCCCCCUGGGUCAAGAUUGACGCUCAUGCACGAAAGCGUGGGGAGCAAACAGG